rnacentral:rRNA from 1 species
AGCAGUAGCCGCGGGAAUACGUAGGGUCCGAGCGUUGUCCGGAAUUACUGGGCGUAAAGAGCUCGUAGGUGGUUUGUCGCGUUGUUCGUGAAAACUCACAGCUCAACUGUGGGCGUGCGGGCGAUACGGGCAGACUAGAGUACUGCAGGGGAGACUGGAAUUCCUGGUGUAGCGGUGGAAUGCGCAGAUAUCAGGAGGAACACCGGUGGCGAAGGCGGGUCUCUGGGCAGUAACUGACGCUGAGGAGCGAAAGCGUGGGGAGCGAACAGGAUUAGAUACCGUGUAGUCCCUGUCUCUUAUACA